CUUUAAUGGUUUCUUUAGAAGGAGAAUAAUGGCAGCCAAGAAUAUGUAGCCUACAAGACAUUGGUGGUCGUUUCAUGAAAGUGUCGAUUAUUGUAUUUCAGAUUCUUCUUUGCAUACAUUUAGAGGGAACGACUGCUUUUGCUGCACGUUUAUCUCUUGCAGUUGUUUUUUCUCCCCUUUUCAUACUUCAAGGUGUUGGCGUGCUGUUAUCUGCAUCUAAAUUUGUGGAGAAACUUGUGUUUCUUCUACAAAGCGGAGCUGGUAGAUGACUUUAUUUUAGAUUCUCAUCAAGAGGUCAUGAUUGCUUGGGGUUCUUAGUUACACCAUGGUUCUAGGUAAUUAAUCUUCUUUAUUGUUAUCAUUACUAGAGAAAAGUAUAGGUUUCAAAUACGUUGCUUGAUCUGAUUUAAAACUUUCAUUCUAUUCCUGCAAUCUUUAAUCUGUUAUGACUCAAUUCUGAACUCCUUGGCUGCUUUUUGACUCAAUUUAACAUGAAAUUGGUUAAGAGGUAACUGCUACUUUUUUCAUUUUUUUAUUAUGAGUUUCUAUUGAAAUUGUGUUGGCUGAUUUAUGUUAUAUUCUGUUAUUGAGUUAGAAAACUGGUGCAAAUUUAUUUUAUUUUUCCGUUAUCCUCAUGUGCAGAGUUCUGUUAGUGAAUAUGCGGUUCAGUUUGUGGUGUGGUAAGGAUUUUAUUUGGCUUGACUUGAUGCUGUUUUGAAGUGCAAAUUUGGAUUGGUAUUUAUGGUUUACUUUUGGGAACUAUUUUUGCUGCAGAAUUCUGGUUUGGUAGCUCUUUGAUGCAGGGUCGAUACGGGAACGUCGCAAGGUGAUGAUGUGCCGAUGUGAAUUUUGGUGUUAUGAAUGGAACCUGGAAACCUCAACAAUAGUUAUGUUAAAAUUAUUUUUUCUUCAUAUAACACACCUUAACGCAGUAAUUAUCAAAUAUAAGCAUUAUCGGUCAAUAUAUAAUUAGCAACGAGAAUGUUGUUUUAAGGUAUCAUA